AUUCCAGCUCCAAUAGCGUAUAUUUUAGUUGUUGCAGUUAAAAAGCUCGUAGUUGAAUUUCUGGUGGGAAGAUGCGGACGGCCUCAUGGCUUGUUCCAAGUCUUCCGGCCAUCCUUGGGUGGAGCUCGUCUGGCAUUAAGCUGUCGGGCGGGGGAUGCCCAUCGUUUACUGUGAAAAAAUUAAAGUGUUCAAAGCAGACUUAUGUCGUUGAAUAUAUUAGCAUGGAAUAAUAAGAUAGGACAGCAGUGCUAUUUUGUUGGUUUGCGCACCGUUGUAAUGAUGAAUAGGGACAGUUGUGGGUAUUUAUAUUCACUUGUAAGAGGUGAAAUUCUUAGAUUAAGGGAAGAUAAACUACUGCGAAAGCAUUUACCAAGGAUGUUUUCAUCA
rnacentral:rRNA from 1 species